ensembl:snRNA U6 U6 spliceosomal RNA
UUACUUCAGCCGUACAUAUGCUAAAAUUGCAACAAUACAGAGAAAAUUCACAUGUCCCUGGUGCAAAGAUACCAUCUAAUUCUCGGAUACAACAGAAAACAGAUUUUA